GGCUCGCAGGCGGUUUCUUAAGUCUGAUGUGAAAGCCCCCGGCUCAACCGGGGAGGGUCAUUGGAAACUGGGGAACUUGAGUGCAGAAGAGGAGAGUGGAAUUCCACGUGUAGCGGUGAAAUGCGUAGAGAUGUGGAGGAACACCAGUGGCGAAGGCGACUCUCUGGUCUGUAACUGACGCUGAGGAGCGAAAGCGUGGGGAGCGAACAGGAUUAGAUACCCUGGUAGUCCACGCCGUAAACGAUGAGUGCUAAGUGUUAGGGGGUUUCCGCCCCUUAGUGCUGCAGCUAACGCAUUAAGCACUCCGCCUGGGGAGUACGGUCGCAAGACUGAAACUCAAAGGAAUUGACGGGGGCCCGCACAAGCGGUGGAACAUGUGGUUUAAUUCCAAGCAACGCGAAGAACCUUACCAGGUCUUGACAUCGUCUGACGAUCAUAUAGAUAGGACGUCCCCUUCGGCGGCAGAGUGACAGGUGGUGCAUGGUUGUCGUCAGCUCGUGUCGUGAGAUGUUGGGUUAAGUCCCGCAACGAGCGCAACCCUUGAUCUUAGUUGCCAGCAUUCAAUUGGGCACUC
rnacentral:rRNA from 1 species